GAUGAACGCUGGCGGCGUGCUUAACACAUGCAAGUCGAACGAAGCAUUUAGGACAGAUUACUUCGGUUUGAAGUUCUUUAUGACUGAGUGGCGGACGGAUGAGUAACGCGUGGGUAACCUGCCUUGUACUGGGGGAUAGCAGCUGGAAACGGCUGGUAAUACCGCAUAAGCGCACAAUGUUGCAUGACAUGGUGUGAAAAACUCCGGUGGUAUAAGAUGGACCCGCGUCUGAUUAGCUAGUUGGUGAGAUAACAGCCCACCAAGGCGACGAUCAGUAGCCGACCUGAGAGGGUGACCGGCCACAUUGGGACUGAGACACGGCCCAGACUCCUACGGGAGGCAGCAGUGGGGAAUAUUGCACAAUGGAGGAAACUCUGAUGCAGCGACGCCGCGUGAGUGAAGAAGUAAUUCGUUAUGUAAAGCUCUAUCAGCAGGGAAGAUAGUGACGGUACCUGACUAAGAAGCUCCGGCUAAAUACGUG
rnacentral:rRNA from 1 species